rnacentral:sRNA from 1 species
ACGGAGAGCGAAGGGGACUCGCCGGGGAUCCGCUGUACUUGCGUCAGCUAGAGUAUACCAAUCCCUUGCCCCAGCACAGAAGAGCUUCUCCUCAUCAACUGGGGAUGAUUACAGUUCUUCCUAAAAAAGGAUGGCUGCUCUUUUUCUAAAGAGGUUAACACUACAAACUGUAAAGUCUGAAAAUAGUUGCAUUAGAUGUUUUGGUAAACACAUCGUGCAAAAGACAGCACCAACACAGUUGUCCCCUAUUGCUUCUGCCCCAAGACUCUCCUUCCUAAUUCAUGCAAAAGCCUUUAGUAACGCUGAAGACACCCAGAAUGAAGGAAAAAAGAAAAAAAAGAAUAAAACAGCUUUUAGUAACAUUGGAAGAAAA